AAUCCAGACUCCUACGGGAGGCAGCAGUGGGGAAUAUUGCACAAUGGGCGCAAGCCUGAUGCAGCCAUGCCGCGUGUAUGAAGAAGGCCUUCGGGUUGUAAAGUACUUUCAGCGGGGAGGAAGGGGUUAAGGUUAAUAACCUUAGCCAUUGACGUUACCCGCAGAAGAAGCACCGGCUAACUCCGUGCCAGCAGCCGCGGUAAUACGGAGGGUGCAAGCGUUAAUCGGAAUUACUGGGCGUAAAGCGCACGCAGGCGGUCUGUCAAGUCGGAUGUGAAAUCCCCGGGCUCAACCUGGGAACUGCAUUCGAAACUGGCAGGCUGGAGUCUUGUAGAGGGGGGUAGAAUUCCAGGUGUAGCGGUGAAAUGCGUAGAGAUCUGGAGGAAUACCGGUGGCGAAGGCGGCCCCCUGGACAAAGACUGACGCUCAGGUGCGAAAGCGUGGGGAGCAAACAGGAUUAGAUACCCCUGUAUC
rnacentral:rRNA from 1 species